rnacentral:rRNA from 1 species
UGGGGAAUCUUGCACAAUGGGCGAAAGCCUGAUGCAGCGACGCCGCGUGGGGGAUGAAGGCCUUAGGGUCGUAAACCCCUUUCAGCAGGGACGAAAAUGACGGUACCUGCAGAAGAAGCCCCGGCCAACUACGUGCCAGCAGCCGCGGUAAGACGUAGGGGGCGAGCGUUGUCCGGAUUUAUUGGGCGUAAAGAGCUCGUAGGCGGUUGCGUAAGUCGGAUGUGAAAACUCAGGGCUCAACCCUGAGACGCCAUCCGAUACUGCGCUGACUUGAAUCCAGUAGGGGAGUGUGGAAUUCCUGGUGUAGCGGUGAAAUGCGCAGAUAUCAGGAGGAACACCCAUGGCGAAGGCAGCACUCUGGGCUGGUAUUGACGCUGAGGAGCGAAAGCAUGGGUAGCGAACAGGAUUAGAUACCCCUGUAGUCCCUGAGCGGGCUGGCAAGGCGCAU